CAGACUCCAAAUCGGAUAGACGAAUAGUUCUGAUAAAAAGUACCUAUUGGUAUCUCAACCAAGUGCCACAGUAUGCAUGUAUCGCAUGGCCUCAGUGUCACCGGUGCCACAGCGUUUGCGCUGUGCUCUUUCAGAGACCGUACCGACUGGAAUUUAGCGACCGCUGACCGUUUCAAAGACUGUACGGGCGGCAGCGGGCGGUCUGAUCCUCGCCUCCGGCAAGAGGGGAGACCGCGCGUCCCCCUGUCGCAUUGUGCCGCCGCCGCUCGCGGGAUGCGGACGAGUCUGUUGAGUGUGUUGUGCCGUCUGCCGUCUCCUCUUCGGGCCAUGAACGCAGGAUGCGAGACUCGACAGGCGACGGGCGACUCAACCGCUCAAGAUGUGUAGAAUGUGGAUGGCGUAGGAGCGGCGGCCGAGGACGUUUGACGUGAUAAUAUCUGAAGCGUGGCUGACUCGAAAAA
rnacentral:lncRNA from 1 species